rnacentral:rRNA from 1 species
ACGCUGGCGGCGUGCUUAACACAUGCAAGUCGAACGAAGCACUUUCUUACGAUCCCUUCGGGGUGACGAGUUAGUGACUGAGUGGCGGACGGGUGAGUAACGCGUGGGUAACCUGCCUUAUACAGGGGGAUAACAGUUGGAAACGGCUGCUAAUACCGCAUAAGCGCACAGUACCGCAUGGUACAGUGUGAAAAACUCCGGUGGUAUAAGAUGGACCCGCGUCUGAUUAGCUAGUUGGUGAGGUAACGGCCCACCAAGGCGACGAUCAGUAGCCGAUCUGAGAGGAUGAACGGCCACAUUGGGACUGAGACACGGCCCAGACUCCUACGGGAGGCAGCAGUGGGGAAUAUUGCACAAUGGGCGAAAGCCUGAUGCAGCGACGCCGCGUGAGUGAUGAAGUAUUUCGGUAUGUAAAGCUCUAUCAGCAGGGAAGAUAAUGAC